AUGGUUUUCAUUAAGGUCCUGGCAGGGUGGUUUUGUGUCUCCUUCCACGUUAAGGACCCUACGGUUCAAAUUAAGGUCCUGACAGGGUGGAAGAGGCUACUCUCCCGCUCUAAUGGCCCGAUGGUUUUCAUUAGGGUCCUGGCAGGGUGGAGGGGGGUCUCCUCCCGCCUUAAGGACCCUACAUUUCAAAUCAAGGUCCUGGCAGGGUGGAAGAGUCUAUUCUCCAGCUCUAAUAACCCGAUAGUUUUCAUUAGGGUCCUGGCAGGGUGCUGGGGGGUCUUCUCCCGCCUUAAGGACCCUACGCUUCGAAUCAAGGUCCUGGCAGGGCGGUGGGGGGGCUAUUCUCCCGCUCUCAUCACCCGACGGCGCUCGUUAAGGUCCGGAAAGCUCGUUACCUCCGAGGUCGUAGAAGUAACGCCACACUUGGUCGUCCUCGGAGCGCCCGUAGUCGGCGCCGUGCACCAGUUCUCCCAGUUUGGGGGGGAGGUUGAUGGCCUGGUCCUCCAGUUGCUUCCGGAAGGUUCCGAUGAAGUCGACGCCGCCACGGGGCUGCCAGGACACGAAGAAGGGAUGAGGGGGGGGCAAGCGGGCAAGCGGCGCAGCUGCCAGGACUUGGGCUUCUUUAUCUGCCAGGACCUGUGGCUGCUGACGUGCCAGGAUCUGUCCUUCUUAACCUGCCAGGACCUGUGGCUGUUGACAUAUCAGGACGUAUCAGGACUUGGGCUUCUUUAUCUGCCAGGACCUGUAGCUGUUAACAUAUCAGGACCUGUGCUUCUUUACCUGCCAGGACCUGCUCUUCUUUACCUACCAGGACCUGUGGCCGUUUACGCACCAUCACCCACCUUCAUUAUUUCCCUGCUAGGACCUGUGCAACCCUGGGAAUUUAUUUCCCUGCCAGGACCUGUGCACCCACGUUUACUACCCACCUGCUAGGACCUGUGCCCCCACGUUAACUAUGUCCCUGCUAGGACCUGUGCAUCAAUGUUCACUAUUUCCCUGCUAGGACCCGUGCCCCCACGUUAAUUAUUUCCCUGCCAGGACCUGCGCACCAAUGUUUAUUACUUCCCUGUUAGGACCGGUACAACCAUUCCCUUUUAUUCUCCUUCCAGGACCUGUACA
rnacentral:lncRNA from 1 species